rnacentral:rRNA from 1 species
CCUACGGGUGGCAGCAGUGAGGAAUAUUGGUCACUGGACGAGAGUCUGAACCAGCCAAGUAGCGUGAAGGAUGACUGCCCUAUGGGUUGUAAACUUCUUUUAUAUGGGAAUAAAACGUUCCACGUGUGGGAUUUUGUAUGUACCAUAUGAAUAAGGUUCGGCUCACUCCGUGCCAGCAGCCGCGGUAAUACUGCGGAUCCGAGCGUUAUCCGGAUUUAUUGGGUUUAUAGGGAGCGUAGGUGGAUUGUUAAGUCAGUUGUGAAAGUUUGCGGCUCAACCGUAAAAUUGCAGUUGAAACUGGCAGUCUUGAGUACAGUAGAGGUGGGCGGAAUUCGUGGUGUAGCGGUGAAAUGCUUAGAUAUCACGAAGAACUCCGAUUGCGAAGGCAGUUCACUGGACUGCAACUGACACGGAGGCUCGAAAGUGUGGGUAUCAAACAGGAUUAGAUACCCGAGUAGUC